rnacentral:rRNA from 1 species
CCUACGGGAGGCAGCAGUCGAGAAUAAUUCACAAUGGGGGCAACCCUGAUGGUGCAACGCCGCGUGGAGGAUGAAGGUCUUCGGAUUGUAAACUCCUGUCAUCUGGGAGUAAGACCUGGCUGUGAAUAGCAGACAGGGUUGAUAGUACCAGAAGAGGAAGGGACGGCUAACUUCGUGCCAGCAGCCGCGGUAAU